rnacentral:rRNA from 1 species
UACGUAGGGUGCAAGCGUUAAUCGGAAUUACUGGGCGUAAAGCGUGCGCAGGCGGCUUUGCAAGACAGAUGUGAAAUCCCCGGGCUUAACCUGGGAACUGCAUUUGUGACUGCAUGGCUGGAGUGCGGCAGAGGGGGAUGGAAUUCCGCGUGUAGCAGUGAAAUGCGUAGAUAUCGGAAGGAACAUCAGUGGCGAAAGCGGCUUCCUGGACCAGUACCGACGUUCAGGCACGAAAGCGUGGGGAGCAAACAGG